rnacentral:rRNA from 1 species
CGAAGUGCGGAAUAACUCCUGGAAACAGGGGCUAAUACCGCAUGUGACGUCAGGUCCUUCGGGACUUGCCGUUAAAGGUCUUCGGAUCGCUUCGAGAUCAGCCCGCCUCCCAUUAGCUUGUUGGCAGGGUAAUGGCCUACCAAGGCGACGAUGGGUAGCUGGUCUGAGAGGAUGGUCAGCCACACUGGGACUGAGAUACGGCCCAGACUCCUACGGGAGGCAGCAGUCUAGAGGCUUCCACAAUGGACGAAAGUCAGAUGGAGCGACGCCGCGUGUGUGAUGACGCCCUUCGGGGUGUAAAGCACUGUCAGUGGGGAAGAAGGCUCGGGAGGUUAUCUUCUCGAGUUUGACGGUACCUGCAGAGGAAGCGCCGGCUAACUCCGUGCCAGCAGCCGCGGUAAUACGGUGGGCGCGAGCGUUGUUCGGAUUCAUUGGGCGUAAAGCGCGCGUAGGCGGACAAGUAAGUCUGGUGUGAAAUCGUCAUCGCUCAACGGGACGUUGUCACUGGAUACUGCUUGUCUUGAGGGCGUUAGAGGGAACCGGAAUUCCUGGUGUAGCGGUGGAAUGCGUAGAUNUCAGGAAGAACACCGAUUGCGAAGGCGGGUUCCUGGGGCGUACCUGACGCUGAGGCGCGAAAGCCAGGGGAGCGAACGGGCUUAGAUACCCCGGUAGUCCUGGCCGUAAACGAUGAGCACUAGGUGUGGGGGGGUAUCGACCCCCCCC